rnacentral:rRNA from 1 species
UACGGCGGGUGCAAGCGUUAUCCGGGUUUACUGGGUUUUAAGGGUGCGUAGGGGGGCAAGUAAGUCAGUGGGGAAAUCUCCGGGCUUAACCCGGAAACUGCCAUUGAUACUAUUUGUCUUGAAUACUGUGGAGGUCAGCGGAAUAUGUCAUGUAGCGGUGAAAUGCUUAGAUAUGACAUAGAACACCAAUUGCGAAGGCAGCUGGCUACACAAAUAUUGACACUGAGGCACGAAAGCCAGGGGAGCAAACGGG